rnacentral:misc_RNA from 1 species
CAGAGUUGUAAAACUCCCAACCCAUGUGAACAUACCUGUUGCCUCGGCGGCCUACCCUGUGGUUACCCUGUAGCUACCCUGUAGUCCGCCGACGGACUACUCAAAACUCUUUGUUUUAAUGUGUCUCUGAGUAAAAUCAUAAUAAGUUA